rnacentral:rRNA from 1 species
UACAGAGGGUGCGAGCGUUGUCCGGAAUCACUGGGCGUAAAGGGCGCGUAGGCGGUCUGGUAAGCGUGUGGUGAAAGCUUCGGGCUCAACCCGGAGUCGGCCGUGCGAACUGCGAGACUGGAGCAUGUCAGAGGCAGGCGGAAUUCCGGGUGUAGCGGUGGAAUGCGUAGAGAGUCCGGAAGAACACCGGUGGCGAAGGCGGCCUGCUGGGACAUUGCUGACGCUGAGGCGCGACAGCGUGGGGAGCAAACGGG